AUGCACAUGAAGAUGGUCAAGACCCCAAGUCCAAGGAAGAAGAGAACCAACGGAAGAAGGCGAGAACAGCCUCCAGGCACCGAACAUCCGGCUAUGGUUCCAGACAUCCGGCCCCUGGAGAUCUACCACGCAUCCAGGAGUCUGCAACAGAAGCUACAGGGCCUGGACAUCCGGCGCUCCGCCCCGGAAACCCGGCCUCCAGCCCGGACAUCCGGACACGACAUGCUGGGAGCACAGAAGGCUACCCCGACAGCACGGACAUCCCACCGUCACCCCGGACAUCCGGCAUCUCCCGAAGCCCCGCACAUCCGGCCCCUCCGCCCGGACAUCCAGCCCCGUCCGUCCAGAGAGCAGUAA
rnacentral:rRNA from 1 species